UUUACAGCUUAGACUCACUCCAGGGAGUUAUUCCGACAUUUUCAAGAGAAAAUUCAUCUCGACUGUCUCAGGCACCUCUUCUGAGAAUUUUCCAAAUAAGGUCCCUAGAGAGGAAGCAAAACAUAGACUGAGUAUCUUGCUCGUACUUUUUGAAUGGAAUCUGUCUUCAUGUAACUGAGAUAGGAAAUAAAAUACACCACAAGUUUUUAGAAGCAAUGGAAGAAAGAAAAGAGGUGGCAGCAGCAUAAUUCUGCCUGAAGGUUCAGGUAUUUUACAGGCCUCCCAUGUGACACAGAGACAGUAAGUUGCUAGAAUGGAAGAAGUAAGUGCUCUGCACCUCUGCUGUAAUUAAGGGAUCAUUUUCCUUCACUGCAGUGAUGCUGAUGAACAGCAGAGCAGCAGAGCACAGGCACGGAGCACCAGACUCAUGGGCUCAGAGCACAGAAACUUAAAUGAUAACAGAAGAACUCCUGAAGAUCAUUCUCCAAGUGGUUCCUGUCUUCCCUGGGGUCUCCCUUGCCAUCAUUCAACGAUGACUCCAACAGCUGCAGAUGUUACAUGCAGUUCGUAUAAAACUGGAAUUAACAAGAUGCACUUCUUAUUCUAAUGUGAAGAAACAUUUCCCUAGAUUCCAGGAGCAUCCAUAACAUGAGCUAAAAUAUGAGUGUAACACAGCAGAGAAGAAGCCACAUUGAAGUGCAAUGAAAACUGAGAGAUCCUUUGUUGUUUGGACUCACCGGGACUCAUACAGCUGCCUCUGUCUCACCUUCCUGAACUUCACCUCUGUUCUCUUGAAAGAUCACUUGUUCUGGCUCUCCUGUCAAGUCUGUGUGAUGUGAUUUAAAAUCUAUAAAUUCCUGCCGGUGCUUGACUGUAGUUUUUAAAUCAGCUCUGAAAGUCUUUUGGAAAUAAGAAUUUCACUGACAUCAUAACCUGUGGUUAAUUUAUUAAAUGGUGUGCUGAGAAAUCUUACAGAAUGUAAAAUGAACAAUUUAGUUAACAAGAGUUUAGACUAUAUCAUAUGAAUUAGCAGUUCAUAAAAAGUGCGAAGGUAUACGAU
rnacentral:lncRNA from 1 species